GUCCAGACUCCUACGGGAGGCAGCAGUGGGGAAUAUUGGGCAAUGGGCGCAAGCCUGACCCAGCAACGCCGCGUGAAGGAAGAAGGCUCUCGGGUUGUAAACUUCUUUUAUCAGGGACGAAGCAAGUGACGGUACCUGAUGAAUAAGCCACGGCUAACUACGUGCCAGCAGCCGCGGUAAUACGUAGGUGGCAAGCGUUGUCCGGAUUUACUGGGUGUAAAGGGCGUGCAGCCGGGUUUAUAAGUCAGAUGUGAAAUCCCGCGGCUCAACCGCGGAACUGCAUUUGAAACUGUAGAUCUUGAGUACUGGAGAGGCAGGCGGAAUUCCUAGUGUAGCGGUGAAAUGCGUAGAUAUUAGGAGGAACACCAGUGGCGAAGGCGGCCUGCUGGACAGCAACUGACGGUGAGGCGCGAAAGCGUGGGGAGCAAACAGGAUUAGAUACCCUUGUA
rnacentral:rRNA from 1 species